CCUACGGGCGGCAGCAGUGGGGAAUAUUGCACAAUGGGGGAAACCCUGAUGCAGCCAUGCCGCGUGUGUGAAGAAGGCCUUAGGGUUGUAAAGCUCUUUCACCGGUGAAGAUAAUGACGGUAACCGGAGAAGAAGCCCCGGCUAACUUCGUGCCAGCAGCCGCGGUAAUACGAAGGGGGCUAGCGUUGUUCGGAAUUACUGGGCGUAAAGCGCGCGUAGGCGGAUAGAUAAGUCAGAGGUGAAAUCCCGGGGCUCAACCCCGGAAUUGCCUUUGAUACUGUUUAUCUUGAGUGCAGAAGAGGUAAGUGGAAUUCCGAGUGUAGAGGUGAAAUUCGUAGAUAUUCGGAGGAACACCAGUGGCGAAGGCGGCUUACUGGUCUGCAACUGACGCUGAGGCGCGAAAGCGUGGGGAGCAAACAGGAUUAGAUACCCUCGUAGUC
rnacentral:rRNA from 1 species